UCCUCCAAAACACAAUCCGCGACCAGCAUUUCCCCUCUAUUGGCGACUCUGUAGGACUUCCGCUAAAUCCAGCCGCUUGCCGUACCUCCGCGAAAUCCAGCCGCUCGCCAGACCUAGAUGUAGCCCUUGCCCGGUCGCCUUCCCUUCCUCGGUUGCCUACCCUUGUUUUUUCGCCGGACCAGCCGCUUGGCUUCGCUCGGAGUGGCUCUCGUGUUCUCGAAGCAUCAAUCAGAACACUAUACAUCUUCGCCGUUCUUACUUCAUACCGACACCGAAGUUUCCUUUCUCACUCGUCGUUCUCGCCUUUGUCGACGCUCAAGGAGAACGAAAGCGUGAACCAUCACCGAUCGAUCUGCACGCUGUUCAUCUGCAUCGUCUUUUCAGGUUUUAAAGAUGGUUCCACCAAUUGAGACUCCAGUCAAAGUUCAAUUUUCUCACAAAACUUCUCGCAAGGCUUCUAAGCUAUAGAAGAGAGUUUGUGCAGAAAUCACUACAGAGAUCAACCUUCUGCAGGAGAACUGGAAGUAUCUUCUUGCAGGAAUCUUGUGUCAGGUUUAUAUUUCAAU